CGAGCCGAGUGGACGGCCGCGACGGGACCCAGGUCCCGCCGAGGAACGUCCGGACUCCACAGGGCAGGGUGGUGGGUAACGCCCACCCGGGGUGACCCGCGGGAAAGUGCCACAGAAAGCAGACCGCCGGGGGCCGCGAGGCCGCCGGUAAGGGUGAAACGGUGGUGUAAGAGACCACCAGUGCCCAGGGUGACCUGGGCAGCUCGGUAAACCCCACCCGGAGCAAGGUCAAGAGGGGCCGCCGCCAGGCGGCCCUGCGCGGACGUUCGAGGGCUGCCCGCCCGAGUCCGCGGGUGGACCGCACGAGGCCGGUGGUGACAUCGGUCCCAGAUGGAUGGCCGUCUCCCGGUCGGCCGCGAGGCCGGCCGGCGACAGAAUCCGGCGUACAGCUCGACUCGUCUG
rnacentral:RNase_P_RNA from 1 species